CCUACGGGAGGCAGCAGUGGGGAAUAUUGCUCAAUGGGGGCAACUCUGAUGCAGCGACGCCGCGUGAGGGAAGAAGGAACUAGGAAUGUAAAGCUCCAUCAGCACGGAAGAAAAUGAAGGUACCUGAGUCUGAAGCACCGUAUAACCACGUGCCAGAACCCCCGGCUAUUCGGAGGCGGCAAGCGUUAUCCGGAUUUACUGGGGGUAAAGGGAGUGUAGACGGGUGUGCAAGUCAGAAGGGAAAGGCGGGGGCUCAACCCCCGGACUGCUCUGGAAACUGUACGGCUGGAGUGCAGGAGAGGUAAGUGGAAUGCCUAGUGUAGCGGUGAAAUGCGUAGAGAUUAGGAGGAACACCAGUGGCGAAGGCAGCUUACUGGACUGUAACUGACGUUGAGGCUCGAAAGCGUGGGGAGCAAACAGGAUUAGAUACCCGUGUAGUC
rnacentral:rRNA from 1 species